GACUUUGCUGUCACUACUUUCCUUCUGGCUGGCUAAUGUCUUCGGCAUUGCUGCCCUAGGAGAAUUUCUGACUCAAGUUUCAAAGUGCCAUCCAGUGAGAGUCUUCGGGAACAUUCUGCAGAAGGAGCCUCUGCAAGUGAAAACAAGAAAGAGGAGCCGAAUGAAAUCUUGCACAUUUUAGAGAGCGCGUGCUUCAUUCAACCCUAUUUUUCUAAAAUAUCUUGUGACUCCUCCUGUUUUUAACUCGAUCCAUCACAUUUCUUGCACCAGAAGCGGGCCUGUCUGCUCGCUGUGAGUGACUUCAUUAGCUUUAGCUGUGUAAUCUCAGUGUGAGGCAGUCUUUUUCUACACCCUCCAUCAAUGGACAAGCCAUGAAUAAAUUACCAAGUCCUUUGGUGGAGAAGUCAUUACUCAUAUAGAGAUUGAAGAAGCACCUGUGAGAGUUUGUCGGCAAAGCAAAGAAACAUUCAGGAUAAACAGCUUGUCAACAUCAUCUCUCUCUCACACACAGUAAGCACACAUAUUUUUAGUUAUAUAUAUAUAUUUUUUGUAAUUUAGCCAUUAAAUCCCAGCAGAGCCAAACAUCCCCAAUAAAGAGGUCACCAUCGGACACAAAAGAACCCCAAACUUCAAAUUGUUUGAUGAAAAAAAGCACAAGUAUUUUAGUUUAACAGUUCCCUCACGUAAUUGCCUCUGACUUAAACUACAGGAGUACUGGAAAUUUCUAAGGAGGCCAAGAGUGAUGGUGAGGAGAUGAUUCUCGAGAGGAGAAAUGGGGAGAUGACUGAUGUUUUCCCAAUGAGAAACAGGCCUCAGCGAGCAGCUGACAGAUGGAACAGGUGCAAUAUAAAAAAAAUAAAUAAAAAUAAAAAAGUUCUGAAGGAAUUUCACAUUAUAACAAAGCCAGUUAGAUUAUUGUUAUCCCUGUAUGGUACCAUAUCACCCCCAGGCAACAAACCAUUUCUGGACUGUCACAAUGCAUUUUGCUGAAUGAUGUAGCUCUUUAAAAAGGAAACCAUAGGAAACCAAAAAUAUUGCUUGAAUUUGUCAUGACUUUCAGAAAACUAAACCCAUAUUUUUUUUUUCUUUCUUUUGUGGCAGACUGCUGGAGUACCCAUAGACCUAGUUAAAAACUUCCUAUAAAUGCUAAAUGGCCUGUACUCACUUCACCCAGUCCUGAGGACUCCAAACUGCUUUACACAACAUAAUUGUAAGCUACAUUGUAGCUAUAGCUGCAUUGUCUGACAGAAGCAAGGCUACCAUAAGUAAAGUAUCUUGGACAAAGACAACGGCUGAGUUGGAAAAAGCCAGAACAAUCAUGUUUCAAUCAGAAUAAUAUGAAAUAGGCAAAGGGAUCUCAAAUAAUAGCAUGUUAUCCUGAUUCAUAUUCAAAGACAGAUAAUAAAAAAGUAAUUGACAUCUAUUUGUAUGGAAAGGGUUACAGAACAAAUGUUGAACUCCAACUAGAGUCCAAUAUCCACAAAAUGAGAAAACAUGGAUCAGUGGUGAAUUAUCCCAAGACUGGCCAGCCUACCAAAAUUACUUCAGGAGGACAUGAAUUAAUAAUCCAAGAGGACACAAAAGAAUCAAGAACAUCAAAAGCCACAUACACCAUGCUUGGCUCAGUUAAGAAGAGUGUUGAUGAUUCAAGAAUGAGAAAGAGAUGAGGUCCAAGACAAAGUCCAUUGCUCAAAAAAAAGAAAACAACGGUUUGUGUUUUGGUGUGUGCGCGUGUGGGUGUGUGUGUGCGUGUGUGUGUGUGUGUGUGUGUGUGUAUGACUCAACCCAAAGUUGCAGAGCAAAUGUAGGCAGUGAAUGAAGCUGAAUAACUUUAUAAAAGAAAUAUCUACAAAAACAUACAAUAAACAAUGGAGAACCAAAGACAAACAGGAACAGGAUGAAAAGAAGUGGACAGUAAUGGCAGAAUCCAGCAGCGAGUGAAUGUAUGGGGCUUUCAAACAGAGGAGUUUGAUUACCAAUAAAGAACAGGUGACUGAUCGGUUGCAAGUGAGAGAAGGGACCUGACAAGCAAACGGAGAGAGACAGAGAAAGAGACAGAGAGAGAGACAUCAAGAGUAUCACCAAGAGGAAAGCAGGGAAAACAAAACUGUAACCAAACAGAAAGUAACUUAAUUUAUUCUAACUAAAAUAACUAAGGCUUGCACAGAUCAACAAAUGAACAAAACUACAACCCAUAAAAAACCCCAACACAACCCAGGAUUCUGACGGUUUCUGAACAUCCUGAAGGAACUACAAGUUUAAUUGGGUGAUAUAAAAAGACAAUGCUGCACAGAAUCCAUGAUUAAUAAGACUAAUUUUAGAGUAACCUCAUCAAAAUCUGGACUCGCAUCUGAUUGAUUUAUGGCCUGCCCUUAAACUGGUUGUUCAAGUUCAAAAACCCUCUAAUUUGGCUGACAUAAAAAUUACUUUGUAAAUGAGGGUAGACCAAAAAAUUUCCCACUGCAAUGUAAAAGGCUGUUUGUCGGUGAUCACAACUGGAUGACAGUUGGCACCAAGCGUGUAAUAAUGGCAUAAAUGUUAUAUCAACAGACUUGAGUGGUCUAUUCUAAGUUACAGGCACCAGAAAUGAUCACUAUUUGUUUUUAUGGUCUUGAAGGAGGGCCUUUAGUUGUGUCUGGAGCUAUUUUCAAAUGUUUUUUUAUGGUGAAUCAAAGUAUCAUAGCUUUAUAGUUCCACUAAAUCAUUAAAGGUCCACUGCAAAUGAACAAGUAUCUACUCAGCAAGUGACAACCUCAUUUAGGAAGUAGAACAGACCAGUAAAUGUGAAAACUGUUUGUUAAAUUACUCACAGUUUUAUAUACAUAAAAAAGCAAAAAAAAAUUCAAAAUCAAAUUCUACAUUUCUGUUCCAAAUGAAUGAAUGACUUCUGGUGGUAUAUUUAAGUUUUUGAAGUGUGCAGUGGUUGAGGUAGGUGCAGUGGUUGUUUUAGGCCCCCUAGUGGAACAAUCAAUGUACAGUUGAAGUCAGAGUUUGACUGAAGGAGGUUCUUUCUCUGAAUUUGGUGCAUUUUGUGUCUCACAGGUUUAUCUCAAAGAUUUUCACAUAAUGCAAACCACAUUUUUGGAGAAAUAUCCAUGUGUCUUGGUAUUAUAACAUGCAAAUAUAUUUUAAAAAUGAUGUGAAAAAUUUUAUGGAUUGUUGAAGCCUAGACGUCAGCCAAAUGAGCAUGUCCACACUGACCAAUGUUUUAAAAGUUUUAAAAUUUUCACUGAAUAUAAAACAAAUAAAAGUAGCCAGUAACUGCAAGUUAUUUGUACCAUUAUAAAAUAACUAUAUACAUAUUUUUUUUAUUUAGGUAUACUUUAACUUAAAUAAAGGAAAUAUGAAAAGAAUACAUAAAUUAUUUAUAAAAUAGCACUUUAUAAUCAUGACCCUCCAGUUGUGUUCAACCCUGUAACAACAUACUAAUCUCUCCUUUUCAUAAAUAAUGGUUCAGCCCAAUUUCCUCAGCACCCUGAAAGUGACAUCACUCAAGUCUCUUCCCACUCAGACUGUAAAGAGACUUAAGUGUAUAGUUUCUUACCUAUAUUUGAUUAUUUUUAAUCCAAAUAUCGUCAUCGUCAAGCUCAACCUUUCAACACUUUCACAUGUAAAUUAUAUUUAUUGUUGUUUGGGAAAAAGUAAAGAAUGGUCUUUUGAAACACAUAUAAUUUUUUUGUUUUCAUUAUAUCAUAUGUGGCUUCAUACCCUAGCUGAUGUGGACUUAUGGCAACUUUUAGUGAAAAUCUUCAAACCCGUAAUGUUCAACCCCGUUAUAAAAAUUAUGAUUUUGUUACGGGGUUGAAUUUAAAGCAUCCGAAGUGACAAAGAAAUUUGUAACAAUGUUACAAAUUUCUUUGUAACAUUGUUACAACAUUGUGCACAUUGUGCACUUUAUGCAUGAAAGUGCACUUUAUGCACUUUCAUGCAUAAAGUGGGGAAACAUGUUUUCUUGGAGGUUUCUUGGAGUCCUUCAAUAGAUGCAGAAUUCAAAAACACAAUUUUUUGUGGUGUAUUUUUAAGUAGACUGAGACCCCAAAAUGUACCGAAUUCAGAGAAUCGCCCAGGAGUUUCUGGUUGGUGCUGCAGGUGUAACUGGGUCUAUAUUAAUAGCUGUAUAUUUUCACAACAUGUUUUCUUUAAUGUACGGUAUUUGUCCGCUUAUACUUGACUGUCCUUGUGUUCCUUUGUGUCUGCUACAAGGAGUUUGAUCCUCCAGCUCCGCCUUACUUUCUUCUUCUUUAGUUCAGGGUCUUCCAUUAUAAAUAUUAAGUUAUUAAUUUCCUCUUCC